GUAGUGUGCAUGUGUAUAUACAUAUUCAAAUGAGAGGGGGGAAGAGAGAGAGAGAGAGAGAGAGAGUGUGUGUGUCAAGGUUAAUAUCAGGAAUCUUCCUCAUUUCUUCCACCUUAUUCUUGUUCUCCCGCCCUAUUCUUUGAGGUAAGGUCUCUCAGUCAAACCCAGACCUGGCUGAUAAGGCUAGUCCUUCUGUCUGCUCCAGGACUUCUGAGAUAAAACUCCACGAUGUACUGACCCGUUGCCAACAAGCAAGGAAAAGCAAGUCUGUGACCAGGCAACUGGAAACCUCUAGAAGUGUAAGGGAGCAGCCAGAAAGGAGAGUGUGUCUUGCUAAUCCUACUAAACUCUUUGGGAAGGGACAGAAAGAUGAGGGAAAAGGGUCGAGUAUAAUGCCCUGGACUGCCCUCAGCACCACAGAAGAAAAAGUAGCUGAGCUGUCUGAGCUGAGAGCCAGCAGGCCUCCGUGUGCCAAGUGUCACGAGAGAAAGGUGAGUCACUAGCAAGGUGGGGGUGGACACUCUGGGAAGAGCCCGAUGGAGGAUGUGGGGUCAGAGUCCCAGCCAGAGCAGCUCUGAGUCAUCAGGGAACACACGCAGGUCCUUCCUAGCCAGGGAGGACCAGACCACAGGCGCUAGAGACCCCGCCUCAACAGCAGGUGCACACAAGGAGCCUAGGAACAGAUUCAGUCUCACCCUCACCAGUGACACAUGGGGAAUAUCCGGGCCACCCACCUUGCAAAAUUCACCAAAGAUAUAGGAACUGGAAGUGGACCCAGGGAGCCCAUCCUUCCUCUGUCCCCAAAGAAUCUGUUAGUCAUAGCCUCCAUCCCUGAUCCAAAUACCAUCUCUAAAAGAUAAGGGGGGGCUGGGGAGGAAGCGGAUAUUUAAAAACUAAGAACGGUUUAUGUUUUUUACCUGACAAGAUGGACUAUUCACUUGAUGUGUCUAUUUAAACUCUUUUGUUCAAAUGCCCCCCUCUAUUCCGUGGUUGGAGAUUCAGAAAAGAGAAAAUAAUUUUAGAGAAACAAAGAUAGCAUGCCGUCUCUGCACAUCUGUGAGUGGGGUGACAAAAAUCUGCAACCCUCCUCACACAUGAGCAUUGCCAGCCCUUUCCAUCCUCCUCCCCGCUGCUAAAUUGGGUGCUGCUUGGGCUGCUCAGUUCCUCCCACCCACCCACAUGCAACUGUGCAGAAGAGCUUAGAGGGUCCAGACCAGCUCUUUGGGCUUCUGGGUGCAAAGUGAAGAGAAUGGGAAGGAGGCUAGAGAUGGAUAGGUCACACUAGUGAAUUCUAAGGAGAAACAAAGAAAUAGCAAGUUUGUCUUGAAUGAGCCUCUGCAAUGGAAUGUGUCCAAAGGUGUUGGAGUGGGAGAGGAAGGCGGGCACCUAGAAAUGACACUGGGGAGAGACGGCACAGGACCAGUUACUGCUGCACUUUAGAGGGGACACAAGAUGGAUGCGGAUAGCAGCUGCUGUGGACUUAACUCUUGUGUCUUUGCUUUUCCUUGCAAUUUAAAGGAACUAUCAAGACGGAUUCUUUGAACCCCAUUCAGUCACCAGUGCACAGAGAUCUCAGCCUUGACAGUUGACAAGCUCAGUGCCCCAUGCUAUAUAAGAGAUGACUAAUGUAAAGCAAACAGUGUCAACUGGGGGGGAGUGAUUUGUAUCUCCUAGAGGACAUUUGAGACAUGGUCUGAUGUAUCCCAGGAAGGUUUCUAACUCAUUAUUUAGCUGAUGAUGACCUUGAACUUUGCUCUGUUCCUCCGGCCUCUGCUUCUGAGUGCUGAGAUUACAAGCACUGCCACUGAUCCUGGAUUUAUGCAGCUCUGGGCAUUGAACCCCGGGUCAUGUGCAUGCAGGGCAAGCACUGUGACACUGAUCUGCCUCUCCAGCUCCUGAAGACAUUUCUGAUUGUCACAACUGAGACAUGCUGACGGCAUUUGAACAGAGGCAGAAGGUGCUGCCACGAGUCUUCCGCUACACAGACAGCCCUCCCUCUGCGGCAAAGCAUCCCAGGUAGAAACAUGACCAAGAAGCCGGGCGUUGGUGGUGCACACCUUUAAUCCCAGCACUCGGGAUGCAGAGGCAGGCGGAUCUCUGUGAGUUCGAGACCAGCCUGGACUACAGAGUGAGUUCCAGGACAGCCUCCAAAGCCACAGAGAAACCCUGUCUCGAAAAACCAAAAAAAAAAAAAAAGAAAAAAAAAAGAAAGAAACAUGACCAAGAAAGGCUUGUUUCCUUACAUCCCUUUCUAGUAACAAAAGUAAAAGACAGAUUUUAUCAUUUUAAUCAUCCUUCCACAUUUGUGAUAUUAUUUUUUUAAAGUUUGUCAGACUUGUUUAUUUGAUGUGUGUAUGUGUGAGAAAGAUCACAACAGACGGAGGACGGGGAGCACACAGUCACAGGUACAUGGUACUCAUGGAGGUCAGACAACAAGUACUUGGGGGAGUGGUUUCUCUCCUUCUACCAGUGGAUCCUGGAAAUCAAACUCAAAUUGUCAGUCUUGGUGGUAGGUGUCUUUAACCUUCUGGGUCAUCUUACUAGUCCCUCAUAUCAGUUCUUAUCUGGUAAUAUAUAGAGAGACUGGGUUCAUAAAAACCAUUAGCAUGGAAGAAUUCCUGUUUAAUUCCAGACCCUGUAGAGGGGGGGGGAAGAUUUGAAAAAGACAGUUAUAAAAAAUCUUUUCGAAUGUCUAUACAUACAUAUGUGUUUGCAAGAGUGUGUGUGUGUGUGUGUGUGUAUGUGUGUUCAUGUAGAGGCCUGAGACUUACCUCAGGAGUCUUCCUUGAUUGCUCUCCACAUUAUUCCAUUUCCACUAGUCUAGCUAGUCAGCUUGCUUCAGGGAUUCUCUACCUCCUCAGCCUUCCACCUUCCCAGAGCUGGAAUUGUAGGCAGGCUGCCAUGGCUGCCCAGCAUUUUUGUGGGUUUUGGGGAUCUGAACCCUGCUGAGACAUCUCCCUGGCUGUUACCAAGCACACCAAACAGAACAGCUGUUAUGAGUAAGACAUGAUCACAAUGGACACUUAUGGCUUCUCGGCAUCCUUUGGUCUCUAAAGAGAAUUCCCAGAAUCCAACUCUUUGCCCAGUCCCUCCCACACACUUCCACACAGGGACUAAGCACUUUGUUUUGCUUUGUUGCAGGCAAUAUAUUCACUAAGAAGGAUUACUGGGGUAAGGUGUUAUGAAAUGGUGGCAUAUUUAAUUUCCAGUUUCUAUUCUAAUUUCCUUGGCUGUGUUACCAUCAGGUCUCUCUACUCUGACAGCCUUAGACUUCAGUCCUAGAAAUCUACACUAUAUAGCUUUAAAAAUAUCCAAACAAACUAGAAUGCUUACAUUUUUGGAGGUCACUCCUUCAAUUAUUUCAAUAGGCUAUAAAUUUAUCCAAACCCCUAUUUCUUUUCUGCCUAUAUACCCUUGUCUUUUCUCUGAAAUGUAGUCCUAUGUUUAGGAGAUAAAUACCAACAUCUCAUCUAUGAGGGCCAGGAUAUUGGGCUGGCUUGCUCCCAGCCCCUAUAUCUCUCUAUGAAGACAUAUCAAGUCAAGGGCCCAGAGGCAGAGGGCAAUUGCCAGCAGGGUUGGUCCAUCACCAACACCAUCCAAAGCAGCUGCAUUUAUUGCCUCUACUGCUCUUGGUGGAGACCUACCUCUUUCCUUCAGCAACCACAAAGAGCAGGCAGGGUCACCCUUGAUGACUCCAGACCCCUGUCCAUCAGGUGAUUUGUGAAUAAACAACUCGGCCCCUAUGAGAUGGGAGUCACAGCAUCAGCACAUAAUGUGUAAAAGUUAAAGUCGUAACCAAGAGGAGCAUGCCUGAAUAACUGACAGAUGGUGGCCUAGACAGAGAGAGCAGUCUCUCUCUCUCUCUCUCUCUCUCUCUCUCUCUCUCUCUCUCUCUCUCUCUCUCUCUCUCCAAAAGGGCUCCAGGAAUGAGUAUAGAUUUCAGAGUCAGGGAUCUCUUGAGCUUUUCCUUGUGAUCACAAGAUGGCUAUGGAAUUUUCAGGCAUUUAUCCUUUUUCAACAAAGGAAGAUGGCAGGGCCUUAGGAGAAAUGGUUAGUGUAUAUAUUCUUCUUAGCGGAGAAAGCAAAGUCUUUUGGAAGAUCAAAGCAGACUUGCUCUCAAGCCUCACUGAGUCAUUUAACCAGCCCUAGCUGCCAAAAAGACUGGAAUCCAUAAGGGAGAAGAUGGGGAAUAUUGGUUGCUUCGACCAUGACAUGAAAGUCACAUCUGUAGCCUAGCAUCUUAGACUAGUGUAGUCCUGAUGGUGAACGAGGGAAAACUCAGAGCUAUUAACUGUUUUACAAGUCUUCCAGCACACACAGUGCUACUUUGGGCCUAGAAAUGGAAGAGUGACCAUUCUUGCCAUCUUGGCUGAUACCUGGAUGCCCCAUGGGUUCUGAAACAUGAUGCUCUUGGUUUGGGUCUUGACCUUCUCCUAGCAGGCAUCACAAAACAGUGAGAGUCCCAUUAUGUGACACAAGAAGCCAGAGCAGGGAAGGAAGAACAUAGCCAUUCCAUCUACCUCAUGCCAUACAACCCAACCCCAAAAUGCCAAUAGCAACUCCAUGGCCCUCCUGGGAAGCAAUAACUGAGGAGAGAUUGAAUUAUUUGGGCAGGUAGUGGCAAGUUGGAAAACUCUGGAUUCAUUUGUAGCCACAGAAUGAUAAGGCUACCUGGAGAUUUCUUCAUAGCUUACAACUUUGUAUUCACUUUCCUACAUUCGGCAACAACCCACAAAAACGGAUGAUGUUUAGAUCUAAGCCACUGUUAACAGCGUGUGGCCAGCGAGCUCCUGUCUUCCUCUGCACUCUACCAAAUGUGAGUUGCUUGUGACACACAGCCCGACCCAGGGUGAGGACUAGCCACAGAUCUUGCCUCUUUCCCUUUCUUCUUCCUCACCUGACUUCUGACACUUUGCCUUCUCUCUGCCCCUAGACUUUCAGCGAAGCUCUUGCUUGACCCCUCUGGCUCUUGCUUGACCCCUCUGGCUCUUGCUUGACCCCUCUGGCUCUUGCUUGACCCCUCUGGCUCUUGCUUGACCCCUCUGGCUCUUGCUUGACCCCUCUGGCUCUGGCAUGAGCGCUGGUCUCUCUUGGCAGCUUUAGGUUCAGAGUUCUGGCACAUGUGUCAGCAGUUUCUCUGAGCAUCCCAUCCAUGCCUUUGUU